UACGGGGGGGGCAAGCGUUGUUCGGAAUUACUGGGCGUAAAGGGCUCGUAGGCGGCCAAACUAAGUCGGAUGUGAAAUCCCUAGGCUUAACCUGGGAACUGCAUCCGAUACUGGAUGGCUUGAAUCCGGGAGAGGGAUGCAGAAUUCCAGGUGUAGCGGUGAAAUGCGUAGAUAUCUGGAGGAAUACCGGUGGCGAAGGCGGCAUCCUGGACCGGCAUUGACGCUGAUGAGCGAAAGCUAGGGGAGCAAACGGG
rnacentral:rRNA from 1 species